rnacentral:rRNA from 1 species
GGAUCCAGACUUUGAUCAUGGCUCAGGAUGAACGCUGGCGGCGUGCUUAACACAUGCAAGUCGAACGAAGCACUCUAUUUGAUUUUCUUCGGAAAUGAAGAUUUUGUGACUGAGUGGCGGACGGGUGAGUAACGCGUGGGUAACCUGCCUCAUACAGGGGGAUAACAGUUGGAAACGACUGCUAAUACCGCAUAAGCGCACAGGAUUGCAUGAUCCGGUGUGAAAAACUCCGGUGGUAUGAGAUGGACCCGCGUCUGAUUAGCCAGUUGGCAGGGUAACGGCCUACCAAAGCGACGAUCAGUAGCCGACCUGAGAGGGUGACCGGCCACAUUGGGACUGAGACACGGCCCAAACUCCUACGGGAGGCAGCAGUGGGGAAUAUUGCACAAUGGGGGAAACCCUGAUGCAGCGACGCCGCGUGAGC